UACGGAGGGUCCAGGCGUUAUCCGGAUUUAUUAGGUUUAAAGGGUGCGCAGGCGGUUCUUUAAGUCAGUGGUGAAAGUUUGCAGCUUAACUGUAAAAUUGCCAUUGAAACUGAAGAACUUGAAUUGGGUAGAGGUAGGCGGAAUGUGUAGUGUAGCGGUGAAAUGCUUAGAUAUUACACAGAACACCGAUUGCGAAGGCAGCUUACUAUGCCUUUAUUGACGCUGAGGCACGAAAGCGUGGGUAGCGAACAGG
rnacentral:rRNA from 1 species